AUGCGCUAUCGAAUCUUCUUAAUGGUACCUCUACUGGCUCCAGAUUCAAUUCUUCUAUCAAAUUUAAUUCUGUGUGUCGGUCCUUCCACCUCAUAAACUUUAUCAAGUUUAAUUUUACAGGCAUUAGUUCCUUCACUAAGGAAUUCUUUUUUCAAAAAGACUGUCUGACUGCUGACAAACACUUUUUGUUUUACCGCGAGAUAGAAGUAGUACCCUUUAGUUUUCUUUGGAUACCCUACGAACAAGCACCUAUCAAACUUCGGUCCAAGAUUAUCUGUUUUUAAAUGCUUGAUAUAAGCUGGACACCCCCAGACCCU
rnacentral:lncRNA from 1 species